rnacentral:rRNA from 1 species
GGUCAUAAGAGACAGGUGGAGGGGAAACAGGUUGAUAUUCCGGUACAACCGAUAACCGUUGGAGAGAAGGGAGCACAAAGUAGGAUAAGCUAAGCACAGUGUUGGUUAUGUGUGCCCAAGCAUUGAGGCAGUCAAAGGAGGCAAAUCCGCUUUGAUAAUGCUGGGAUGUGCUGGGGAGCGAAAUUUAGUAGCGAAGUAGCUGAUUUCACACUGUCAAGAAAAGUCUCUAUCGAGGUUAAAGGUACCCGUACCGCAAACCGACACAGGUGGGUGAGGAGAGUAUCCUAAGGCCAGCGAUAGAACUGUUGUUAAGGAUCUCGGCAAAAUGACCCCGUAACUUAGGGAUAAGGGGUGCCAUCAUCAGGUGGCCGCAGAGAAUAGGCCCAAGCGACUGUUUACCAAAAACAUAGGUUUCUGCUAAGUCGCAAGACGAUGUAUAGGAGCUGACGCCUGCCC